GGCCUAACACAUGCAAGUCGAGCGGUAGCGGGAAGAGCUUGCUCUUUGCCGACGAGCGGCGGACGGGUGCGUAACACGUAGGAAUCUGCCUGGUAGUGGGGGAUAGCCCGGAGAAAUCCGGAUUAAUACCGCAUACGCCCUAUGGGGGAAAGCAGGGGAUCUUCGGACCUUGCGCUAUCAGAUGAGCCUGCGUCGGAUUAGCUUGUUGGUGGGGUAAAGGCCUACCAAGGCGACGAUCCGUAGCUGGUCUGAGAGGAUGAUCAGCCACACUGGGACUGAGACACGGCCCAGACUCCUACGGGAGGCAGCAGUGGGGAAUAUUGCACAAUGGGCGAAAGCCUGAUGCAGCCAUGCCGCGUGUGUGAAGAAGGCCCUAGGGUUGUAAAGCACUUUCAGUGGGGAGGAAAGGGAGACUGCUAAUACCAGUUUCCUGUGACGUUACCCACAGAAGAAGCACCGGCUAACUCCGUGCCAGCAGCCGCGGUAAUACGGAGGGUGCGAGCGUUAAUCGGAAUUACUGGGCGUAAAGCGUGCGUAGGCGGCCUUUUAAGUUGGAUGUGAAAGCCCCGGGCUUAACCUGGGAACUGCAUCCAAAACUGGAAGGCUUGAGUGUGAGAGAGGAGUGUGGAAUUUCCUGUGUAGCGGUGAAAUGCGUAGAUAUAGGAAGGAACACCAGUGGCGAAGGCGACACUCUGGCUUGACACUGACGCUGAGGUACGAAAGCGUGGGGAGCAAACAGGAUUAGAUACCCUGGUAGUCCACGCCGUAAACGAUGUCUACUAGUUGUCGGUGGUCUUGUACUGCUGGUAACGCAGCUAACGCGAUAAGUAGACCGCCUGGGG
rnacentral:rRNA from 1 species